rnacentral:rRNA from 1 species
ACAGAGGGUGCGAGCGUUGACCGGAAUCACUGGGCGUAAAGCGCACGUAGGCGGAUUUGUAAGUCAGGGGUGAAAUCCCGGGGCUCAACCUCGGAACUGCCUUUGAUACUGCAAAUCUCGAGUCCGGAAGAGGUGAGUGGAAUUCCUAGUGUAGAGGUGAAAUCCGUAGAUAUUGGGAAGAACACCAGUGGCGAAGGCGGCUCACUGGUCCGGUACUGACGCUGAGGUGCGAAAGCGUGGGGAGCAAACAGGA